rnacentral:lncRNA from 1 species
UGCUUAUUUCAUAAAAAAAAUAUAUAUAUAUAUAUACACACACAUGUGUGUGUAUUUACCAACAUAUUCCACCAAAAUUAUAAACACACCAAAUAGAUAUAUUCAACUAAAACUAUUAACGCAAUGCAAGUUAGCAAGAAUAUUGUACCUGUGGUCUGUGGCUGUGUCCAUUUCCUUAACUAAUAUUCCAAUUCCCAAAGAUUAAAUAGCAACAAUAUGUGCUUCAGUAAUUUGUUUCAUCAUGAAUUAAGAAAUCAAAACCAAUAAACAAAAUCAUUCUAUAGAAGUAAUGAAAAGAGGGGGAAAACACAUUGGUUGAUUAUUUUAUUCAACUAAUAUGAAAAUCAGACACUUUAUCUGAUAGAAGCAGCCAAGAGAGUUACCAUAUUCACUGGAGGUCUGUCCAAGUCAAAAUUCUUGCAGUUAAGGUCUGUCCAAAUUACCAAUUGAGAGGUGCAAUGUUCAGUGAGGUCGAGAAGCGAUGGUCACAGCUGAACAACAAAGCUUGACCUUGAAAGAAUUGGUGAUAGAACUCAUGGAAGAUCAACAUUGGCAACUGGCAAGUUAAAAGGAAGAAUGGAUUAUGGAAGAUCGAUGGCGGCGGAGGCCUGAGAUCUAGAGGAAGAGCAAGAAGGAAAUAAAAAUUAGGGCUUGCUGCCUGAGUUGCUGGCUGAC